CCUCCCCCCAAAAACGCCACCUUCCUCAGCUUUUAUUGCUGAGAAGAAAAAUUAUCUCCACCCCAGCCAGACCCAGUAUGUUGUCAAAUGUGCACAGAAGCACAAAGGUCAACUUCUCUAUCUUACAUUUGAGAAGGGUCCUGCUAGUGAUAGUAAGACUGGAAAGGUAAAAAUCGGGGUAUAAUCUAGCUUCCCAACUUUUGUUGGUGAGCAAGAUGGGGAAUUAAACUUUUCUCUGACAGCAGCAGACAGGCCUCAAACCAGCUCAAACAACGAAGCAUUCAACAGAGCCACGUUAAUUACUGAGAUGAAUGUUCAGUAUCUCAUUAGUGUUUUUCAGCAUAGAACCCUGUUCCAUUUUCCAUCUGUAUUGACAAGCAUUCUUGGACUUAGCAGAUAAUUUUUUUAAUUAGGCUAAGAAGUAUUUUCUGAAAAGCCUAUCCUCAUGCUUUGAAUAUGUUUCAGACUUACUGGCUAGCCCCUGGAAGAGGCAGUAGGCAGGUCCCAUUAACUAUGUCACCCUCUUCUACAGCAGCAUUUUAAAACUUCCAAAAUCAUCUGUAGAGCUUUCCAGUGAGCAAAGAUCAAUAAAAUACUCCUGGAGAGGGAACUUGGCAGCUCUUGCUCUCCAAGAGCUUGGAGAAACAAAGGAAAGUUGCUUAGCCACUGCCCCUGGCUCUGUUUUUCUUUGAUCCAGUAUUAGCAGUCGUAAGAAAAGCUGCUUUUUUGACUACAUGUUUAGGAAUGACAAAGCUUUAUUUGUACUCGUUUGCUCAAUUGUUUUACAUAAACUCCCAACCUAAUGCGAACCCAGAGAAUAAUGCUUUUAUGCUGAAGUACUAACUGCUCCCUCUGAAAGGAUGAAACAGAUAUACAACGCUGUUAAAUGUAGAAUAAAAAAAAAAAGUUUGUGUUUUGACUAAGGGCAACGUUUUCAAUGCGAUUAAAUUGAUAAUAGCUCCUCGAGCUCUUCUGAAGUCUUCUUAAGUGGGAGUUGUAAACAAAAGCAUAAAAAUGGGAGCAAACCAGUGAAAAUUGUAUUUGAAAUUUGACAAACUUGGAGACAACCAAAUGCUGCAUAAAAACUCGCUGUCAUUUCAAACUGACGUGCAACAUUUAUUGAAGUGCUGAAAGUGCUUUCAGUGUUUGACAAAAUACAGAUAAUCCCCAUACAAUGUGCAGUCCAAAACAUGCAGAAUUCACAGGCUUCAAGUGGAGGAAGAGGAAAGACCACUGAGGGAGCUUGCCACAAAGAAGUGAAGUUUAGGAGAGGUUUGAAGAGCUGAAAGUUACUUAGUAGGGCAAGAACACCAUUUAGAAGGUCAGAGUUUACUUACUGCUCCAAAUAAUCCGUAAUAUGAAAAAACCUCACACGCUACAAUUUUUGUAAAAGUAAUUUAAUAAAUUCUGUUCUAUUUACUCUAAUGCGAGCCUGCUGAAAAAAAGUUGCCUGUUUAGAAGUUUAAAUUCCUGUUUCAUCUGGAGAUGCCAAUCUAAUCCCCACAUUGCAGAUGAGGGAGCUGAAUUUUGUAAAACUUGUAAACUAGUAGCUAAAUUGAGUCAUGUGGAUUAGAUAUGCUGUGCUCAUGACUAUAGAGGCUCCAGGAGUAACUUUUUAUUCUGGAGCGUACCAGUGGACAAGCUGACCAAUUGUAUUAUCUAUCUUUUAGACUCCUUUUGAAAUACCAGCUAUUGCUGGAAGCAAGAGAUGGGAUUUGUCAACCUGCGUGCUGACCCAGUUUGGCAACUUGGUGUUUUAUAAUCAUUUGUAUGGGCACAGAGAAAGAUUUCUGUCACUCUUUAGAGAAUGCUCAUCUGAAGCUGGCAGGGAGGAAGUUUGGCCCUAUAAUUGUUUAAAAAAAUCCAUCCCUCUCUAUAUAAUCCUUUUUUAUAAUAAUCCUUGAUUUUAUUCAAAAUAUCAUGAUAGGGCAAGCUUUUUUUAGUCCCUUACAAAGUGGGUAAGAGCAUUUCAUUAGGGCUUACUCUGCUUCUAUCUGUUUUGAUCAGAGGUGUGCUUAAAGCUCUUGCAGAUGUACUCGAUAUUUAAACCAACCAGCAGCAGGAGAGAGUGCAGCAGAGGCCACGUACGUGUCUAACUACUUACGUGGCAGUGGCAGCCAUUCCUGACACGUAACUAUUUGAGCCAGCCUUAAUAAAGAACUAGUAAGUUUACAUGAGCUGGACUUGCAUGUUGGGGUGCUCAGGCUACACACUGCCUCAACUGUGUGUCUUUUCAUGUAGUAUUUGUACAAUGUCUAAUAAUGUAUUAUUUUUCCUGAUAUUACCAUCCUGUUUGUCAGCUGGUGACACCUGAACCACCUGAUACUGCUUCCUGCAAACUAUGAACUAAUACUACAGCAGAAUUGACUGGAUUUCAAAAUCAUUAGAAUUAAACAAACUGCAUUCCACAGCUGUAUUAUAAAAAGCUUGAUUUGUUUUAAAAUCAAAACAGAAAGUUCCCCUGGAAGAACCAUGAAGGAAAUUGUUAUCAGUCAUCUUUCAGUCUCAGUUUUAACUAGCUGAUCAUUUUUGCUCCCAGUUUGGCAAAUUCACAACUAUGCUCUGAAAGCACAGCUCUGCCUCAGAUAAAUGAGGUGUGGGACUGCUCCACUGUACCUUUAUUUAUGCAUUUGGCACUACAGGAUCUCUACUCUCCUCCUCUUGUAAACAACAUUGCUACAUUUUGGUGAAAGACGAGAAAGAGCCGCUUUUUUUUCUUUUUCUCACGAAUGCACAGUGCUCCAAUAUAUAGUUUCUGUUGCCUUUCACAUCUUUAUAUUGUGGCACCCUACUUUCUAUGAAGGGAUAUAGCUGAAUUCACCAAAAAGGCUGCAGAGCUUUGUGAUCUGCUAGGGUAUGACACAGCACUAGAAGAACAGAACAGGUAGGUAAAAAUGGUAUGGGAUACAGAAGGAAAAAAACAAGAGACACAGAAGGUUUGGAGAAGGUAUGAUAAUAAGAAUAGACUAAUACCAGGACUAGUGCAGCUCUCCAAAAUACAUGCAAGAUGCAACUAAUUUAGGAAACAUCAGAUACGCUUGCUGUCAUAUUUCUGUAAAUUCAGGAAUUUUCAUAUACUUCAUGAAAAUAACUUCCAUUUAUUCAGUUUCACCAUGUGAAAAUAACCUAAACUUUUGCUAUAAACCAGGCUCUUUUUUUGGAGUAUAUGAAUUCCCGUAAAAGUUUUCAAUUCCAUGUUUUACAAAUCAAAAUCCCACAUACAGCAAGUAUUUCACAACCUGCAAGAAUCAGUGUUGUACGGUAGCAAGUUAGUAAUUUAUACUUUCAGUAAGCUAAAGCAGUAAUCCAGCAGAGUUAUGUGAAGAACUGCAGUAUACUUGGUAGUGGAUGACAAUAAUGAAAGGACAAUCCAAUGGCAGCGUGAUGGAUUAGUAGAUUAUUUGUGAUUUCUGUCCAAAUCUCUACUAUUCUUACAAAAAUAUUUUUUCAUCCUUCUCACCCGUUUUCUCUCCUGCUCGUGCCCCAAGAAGCAGCUGAGUUGAAAUUUUGUAAUGAAAACCUCUUUCAAGAUGGUAUCCAGCUAUGUUUUCCCAAACGGAACCAUGCAGCAGAAUUCAUCAGAUGAGAAAGCCUUAUUCUAGCAAAGUGAUGAUCACAUCAUCAUCUUUUCCUUGCCAAAGCAUUUCACCUUCAAAAUGAACCAGACCAUGUUUUCUGGCUCUUAACAAGAUUCCCACUACCUUAUUAGAAAUAGUCACGUAUGUUUCAAACAGCUGCCCGAAUGUCACACUCACAUGUCCAUCUUCUCCCACCUCUCCAGUGCUUCUAAUGAUCAAGCACAGCUCUUCCACUUCCUUUCCCACGUGUGAGUGAGCAUCUUUCCCCCUCUGCUCUGUCUGAGACCCUUCAGGGGGUCUCCCGUAGGUAGGAUCUCCUCUGUGAGCAUGCACGGGUUUAGAUGCAAGCCUGUUGUCGUUGCUGAAUGGGUUCUUUCUCUGAUAUUCAAUGUGAUCCUCUGCCCAGGUCUGCCAACUUUUCCUCAAGUCACCCACUGCACUGGUAGCUUUAGCACUCUGCCCUUUAUCUUCUUCCAUUUCUUGAAAAUGUUUUAUGGCACUCAAGCAGGAAACAAAUCAAUGACUGGUUGUAACUGUGGUUCCUGGGUGCACUGUCAGCUGUGAAGGAAAAACAACAAAUCACCCUUGUGAUAAUUUUUGGAAGAGUUUUGCCUGAGUGAGAGGCAAAGCUGCUGAAAAAGAUGUUAAAUAUCUGAAGAUUUUGUUAAGUCCACCCAUAAUCCUACAGCACUGAAGAAAGUAAAAGUGAUUCAGCUGAAAUUCAGAAGUCAUUUUGUAACCCAGGGCAGUAAGUUAUGCUUACAAGGUUACACGGCGUACCACCGGUCCCGCAGCUACCGUACAUACCCCGCGGCCUCCGUGCGACACAAACGUGGUGCAGUACUUACUCUUCAUGCAAUGACACCUUUUAAAGAACUUUAUCCUUACAGCCAGCAGCCCCGCAGACUUCCC